GAUGAACGCUGGCGGCGUGCCUAAUACAUGCAAGUCGAGCGAACAGACGAGGAGCUUGCUCCUCUGACGUUAGCCGCGGACGGGAGAGUAACACGUGGAUCCCCUACCUAUAAGACUGGGAUAACUUCGGGAAACCGGAGCUAAUACCGGAUAAUAUCUUGAUGCGCAUGGUUCAAUAGUGAAAGACGGUUUUGCUGUAACUUAUAGAUGGAUCCGCGCCGCAUUAGCUAGUUGGUAAGGUAACGGCUUACCAAGGCAACGAUGCGUAGCCGACCUGCGAGGGGGAUCGGCCACACUGGAGCUGAGACGCGGUCCAGACGCCUACGGGAGGCAGCAGUAGGGAAGCUUCCGCAAUGGGCGAAAGCUUGACGGAGCGACGCCGCGCGAGUGAUGAAGGUCUUCGGAUCGUAAAACUGUGUUAUGAGUGAAGAACAAAUGUGGAAGGAGCUAUGCACGUCGUGACGGUACCUAAUCAGAAAGCCACGGCUAACUACGUG
rnacentral:rRNA from 1 species